UAUUGGCAUCACAAAGACAUGGUGGGAUGGCCCCUAUGAUUGGGGUGUUGGAAUGGAAGGGUACAGGCUUUUCAGGAUAAAGCCAGGGAAGA